UACGGAGGGUGCGAGCGUUGUCCGGAAUCACUGGGCGUAAAGGGCGCGUAGGCGGUUGGGGCGAGUCUGUGGUGAAAGCUCGUGGCUCAACUACGAGUCGGCCAUGGAUACUCCUCGACUGGAGCACUGUAGAGGCAGGUGGAAUUCCGGGUGUAGCGGUGGAAUGCGUAGAGAUCCGGAAGAACACCGGUGGCGAAGGCGGCCUGCUGGGCAGUGAGCUGGACGCUGAGGCGCGACAGCGUGGGGAGCAAACAGG
rnacentral:rRNA from 1 species